CGAACGGGUGAGGAACACGUGAGGAAUCUGCCUUCAACACUGGGAUAACUCCGGGAAACCGGGGCUAAUACCGGAUACGAGGCCUGCAGGCAUCUGCGGGUCUGGAAAGUUUUUCGGUUGAAGAUGACCUCGCGGCCUAUCAGCUUGUUGGUGAGGUAAUGGCUCACCAAGGCGACGACGGGUAGCCGGCCUGAGAGGGCGACCGGCCACACUGGGACUGAGACACGGCCCAGACUCC
rnacentral:rRNA from 1 species